UGGCUCAGGAUGAACGCUGUCGGCGUGCUUAACACAUGCAAGUCGAACGAUGAUGGGAGCUUGCUCCUGGAUUAGUGGCGAACGGGUGAGUAACACGUGAGUAACCUGCCCUUAACUCUGGGAUAAGCCUGGGAAACUGGGUCUAAUACCGGAUAUGACUCCUCAUCGCAUGGUGGGGGGUGGAAAGCUUUAUUGUGGUUUUGGAUGGACUCGCGGCCUAUCAGCUUGUUGGUGAGGUAAUGGCUUACCAAGGCGACGACGGGUAGCCGGCCUGAGAGGGUGACCGGCCACACUGGGACUGAGACACGGCCCAGACUCCUACGGGAGGCAGCAGUGGGGAAUAUUGCACAAUGGGCGCAAGCCUGAUGCAGCGACGCCGCGUGAGGGAUGACGGCCUUCGGGUUGUAAACCUCUUUCAGUAGGGAAGAAGCGAAAGUGACGGUACCUGCAGAAGAAGCGCCGGCUAACUACGUGCCAGCAGCCGCGGUAAUACGUAGGGCGCAAGCGUUAUCCGGAAUUAUUGGGCGUAAAGAGCUCGUAGGCGGUUUGUCGCGUCUGCCGUGAAAGUCCGGGGCUCAACUCCGGAUCUGCGGUGGGUACGGGCAGACUAGAGUGAUGUAGGGGAGACUGGAAUUCCUGGUGUAGCGGUGAAAUGCGCAGAUAUCAGGAGGAACACCGAUGGCGAAGGCAGGUCUCUGGGCAUUAACUGACGC
rnacentral:rRNA from 1 species